GGUCCGUUAGCUCAGACGGCAGAGCCUGGUGCUAAUAACGCUAAGGUCAUGGGUUCGAGCACCAUACGGACCA
rnacentral:tRNA from 1 species